rnacentral:misc_RNA from 1 species
UCUCCGUAGGUGAACCUGCGGAGGGAUCAUUACAGGGUUCGUGCCCUCGCGGGUAGAUCUCCCACCCUGUUUUAUUGCUACCUUUGUUGCUUUGGCGGGCCGCCCUCGGCUACCGGCCCCGGCUGGUACGCGCCCGCCAGAGGACUCCAAACCCUGAACGUCAGUGUCGUCUGAGUACUAUACAAUAGUUAAAACUUUCAACAACGGAUCUCUUGGUUCUG